rnacentral:rRNA from 1 species
GACGAACGCUGGCGGCGUGCCUAAUACAUGCAAGUCGAACGCAUUUUCUUUCACCGUAGCUUGCUACACCGAAAGAAAAUGAGUGGCGAACGGGUGAGUAACACGUGGGUAACCUGCCCAUCAGCGGGGGAUAACACUUGGAAACAGGUGCUAAUACCGCAUAAUUCCAUUUACCGCAUGGUAGAUGGGUGAAAGGCGCUUUUGCGUCACUGAUGGAUGGACCCGCGGUGCAUUAGCUAGUUGGUGGGGUAACGGCCUACCAAGGCUGCGAUGCAUAGCCGAACUGAGAGGGUGAUCGGCCACACUGGGACUGAGACACGGCCCAGACUCCUACGGGAGGCAGCAGUAGGGAAUCUUCGGCAAGGGACGCAAGUCUGACCGAGCAACGCCGCGUGAGUGAAGAAGGUUUUCGGAUCGUAAAACUCUGUUGUUAGAGAAGAACAAGGAUGAGAGUGGAAAGUUCAUCCCUUGACGGUAGCUAACCAGAAAGCCACGGCUAACUACGUG